GAGGUUGGCGGGCUUGUCGCCGCCCGCUUUACGGGAGGAGGAAAGUCCGGGCGACACAGAGCACCGUUCUUCUUAAUGGGAAGAUGUCCGUGAGGGCAUAGCAACGUAACAGAGAAUAACCGCCGCGGGCGACUGCGGCAAGGGUGAAAAGGUGGGAUAAGAGCCCACCGGCGCCGACGGUGACGUUGGCGGCCGUACGUCUAACGGGUUGCAAGACCAUGUAUACCGGCGCCUGAGGGUUGCUCGCCCGAGCCGGAGGGUAGGUCGCUGAUGACCUGUCGGGGCGACCCGCAGGCAAGAUGAAUGACAAGCGGUUUUCGGCGGGCAACUGCAGGAAGCUACAGAACCCGGCUUAUACGCCAACCUCUCUU
rnacentral:RNase_P_RNA from 1 species